rnacentral:rRNA from 1 species
GACGAACGCUGGCGGCGUGCUUAACACAUGCAAGUCGAACGGGAUUUCGUAAACGGAAGCCUCGGUGGAAGAUUACUAAUGAGAGUGGCGAACGGGUGAGUAACGCGUGAGCAACCUGCCUAUGACAGUGGGAUAGCCUCGGGAAACCGGGAUUAAUACCGCAUAAAAUCGUAGAAACACAUGUUUCAACGGUCAAAGAUUUAUCGGUCAUAGAUGGGCUCGCGUCUGAUUAGCUAGUUGGUGAGAUAACAGCCCACCAAGGCGACGAUCAGUAGCCGGUCUGAGAGGAUGAACGGCCACAUUGGAACUGAGACACGGUCCGAACUCCUACGGGAGGCAGCAGUGGGGAAUAUUGCACAAUGGGGGAAACCCUGAUGCAGCGACGCCGCGUGAACGAAGAAGGUAUUCGUAUCGUAAAGUUCUGUCCUAUGGGAAGAUAAUGACAGUACCAUAGAAGAAAGCUCCGGCUAAAUACGUG